AUUAGGAAUCUUGCACAAUGGGCGAAAGCCUGAUGCAGCGACGCCGCGUGGAGGACGAAGUCUUUCGGGAUGUAAACUCCUUUUGUCAGGGAAGAAACACAUGACGGUACCUGACGAAUAAGCUCCGGCUAACUACGUGCCAGCAGCCGCGGUAAUACGUAGGGAGCGAGCGUUGUCCGAAGUUACUGGGCGUAAAGCGCGCGUAGGCGGGCUGUUUAGUCGGAAGUGAAAGGCUGGGGCUCAACCCCAGCAGUGCUUCCGAUACUGGCAGUCUUGAGGGCGGUAGGGAGAAGUGGAAUGACUGGUGUAGCGGUGAAAUGCGUAGAUAUCAGUCAGAACACCGGUGGCGAAGGCGGCUUCUUGGGCCGUUCCUGACGCUGAGGCGCGAAAGCCAGGGGAGCGAACGGGAUUAGAUACCCUAGUAGUCC
rnacentral:rRNA from 1 species